CAGAUGGAGUGGGCAUGGACAAAGGAAGAUUCAUCAUGUAGAAUACAUUGCCCAGACGCCGGGACACCUUUAGAGAGACAAGCAAUUACAUUCUUACACCAGAGUUCUUUUUGUUGUUAGUGAAGUUUGUUGGUUAAAUAAAAGAAGUCCAGCCUCCAAGAACCAUCAUUCCCAUUAAGAAAACCUCAGCUGUUGCAAUAACCUGUGCAUAAUCUGAACAUCCUGGAAGGCUGAUGAUAAAACUGUAUACGUCUUCAACAGUC